AUUGAACGCUGGCGGCAGGCCUAACCCAUGCAAGUCGAACGAGUGGCGGACGGGUGAGUAAUGUCUGGGAAACUGCCUGAUGGAGGGGGAUAACUACUGGAAACGGUAGCUAAUACCGCAUACCAUCAGAUGUGCCCAGAUGGGAUUAGUUAGUUGGUGGGGUAACGGCUCCCCUAGGCGACGAUCCCUAGCUGGUCUGAGCGGGUGACCGGCCACACCGUGAAUGAGACACGGUCCAGACGCCUACGGGAGGCAGCAGUGGGGAAUAUGGCACAAUGGUCGCAAGCCUGAUGCAGCCAUGCCGCGUGUAUGAAGAAGGCCUUCGGGUUGUAAAGUACUUUCAGCGGGGAGGCGUUACCCGCCGAAGAAGCACCGGCUAACUCCGUGCCAGCAGCCGCGGUAAUAC
rnacentral:rRNA from 1 species